rnacentral:rRNA from 1 species
GNNNUUGCAGAAUUCAGUGAUCAUCGAAUCUUUGAACGCACAUUGCGCCCGUCAGUAUUCUGGCGGGCAUGCCUGUUCGAGCGUCAUUACGCCCCUCAAGUCCCCUGUGGACUUGGUGUUGGGGAUCGGCGAGGCUGGUUUUCCAGCACAGCCGUCCCUUAAAUUAAUUGGCGGUCUCGCCGUGGCCCUCCUCUGCGCAGUAGUAAAGCACUCGCAACAGGAGCCCGGCGCGGUCCACUGCCGUAAAACCCCCCAACUUUUUAUAGUUGACCUCGAAUCAGGUAGGACUACCCGCUGAACUUAAGCAUAUCAAUAAGCGGAGGAA